ensembl:lncRNA
CACCUGCAGGGCUGUGGUGCAGUCCUUGAAGGUGCUGCUCUGCAGCGUGGGCCUCCAGAGGCAGAUGGAGGCCAUCCAGGAGCAGGGCGGCUGGGACGCGCUUCUCAGCACUGUGACCCACCUCCAGGGUGUACAGGUGGUGGCCAGGUGAGAACUCCUCCCUCAGGGUGGCAGGGGGUCCCCAGUUCUCUGAGAAAGUGCUGCCACAGCACCACCACAGCCUGUGGCCCCUGCGGCGUUGGCAAGAGGGCUGCACAGCCAGAGCUGCGUCCCCCUGGCUCGGGGCUCACGGUGCCUUCUUAUCCCUGCCAGGGUGAUGAGAGAGCUGCCUGGUGCUCUGCGUGACCCCAUCUUCCACCACCUGGUUGAGCUGCUCAGCACCAGCUUCUUCUACUCCUGGGAGACGGUGGCCAUGGUCUUCCUCAUUGAGAUGCUGGACUGCGUGGACCUCAACAAAGAGCUGCACCGCAUCAUGAUACUCUUUACCACCUAUCUGCAGAGCCAGAGCGUGGGCAUGCAGCAGCUGGUGCUCAGGGGCAUUCUGAAGCUGAGCCAGAGGCAGGACACGGUGAGCAGGGGCGGCCAGGAAUGCCACAGGUGCCACAGGUCGGGCUAGGCCUGCCAUGGGGCUGUAGCAGAGCCAUCUGCAGCUCAGCACCUCUCCAUGCAGUGAGGAGCUGGUGCUCGCUGCCCAUCCCAUUGCUGCCUGCUGUCCACGGGGCUGGUACUGGAGUGGUUUUGCCCUCACUGUGCUUGCUGCUCUACCUAAAGGAAGGGGUGUUCUUCCCACAGGCAAGGCCAAUGAUCAUCUUCCUGCCGUGCGUCAUGGAGCUGCUGCAGGACGCAGACAGCGACAUCCGUGCCGUGGCCUUACCAAUACUCAGCAACCUGCUGCAGCUCCUGGAGGGGCUCAAGCUCAGCCUCAUGGCUCUGGCUCUGGCCGGCAAGCUCCCGGCGCUCAUUAAUGAUGAGUCCAGCACGGUGCGGCAACUCUCCAUCGACCUCUUCCUCGAAACGCUCAACUACGUGGAGGACCAAGAAAAGAGGAAGAUGCAGGAGGAGGUGUGCAGGAGCCUGGUCCUGCUGUAUCUGCACCUGCAUGAUGAGGAAGAGAGC